rnacentral:rRNA from 1 species
AUUGAACGCUGGCGGCAGGCUUAACACAUGCAAGUCGAGCGAGCGGCGGACGGGUGAGUAAUGUCUGGGAAACUGCCUGUUGGAGGGGGAUAACUACUGGAAACGGUAGCUAAUACCGCAUAUCAUCUGAUGUGCCCCGAUGGGAUUAGCUAGGAGGUGGGGUAACGGCUCACCUAGGCGACGAUCCCUAGCUGGUCUGAGAGGAUGACCAGCCACACUGGAACUGAGACACGGUCCAGACUCCUACGGGAGGCAGCAGUGGGGAAUAUUGCACAAUGGGCGCAAGCCUGAUGCAGCCAUGCCGCGUGUGUGAAGAAGGCCUUCGGGUUGUAAAGCACUUUCAGCGGGGAGGCGUUACCCGCAGAAGAAGCACCGGCUAACUCCGUGCCAGCAGCCGCGGUAAUUC